AUGGCGUCCACUCAAACUCUGCAGAUCAGACGAGAGGUGCGGGGACGAGUUGGGUUGGGAAGCACGAGCACCAUGGACGAUUUGGGUGAGGAGAGAUCAUGGCUGCAGCCACCUAGCUCCAACCACCGCCGGGACAGAGGAGGCCCCGGCGCCAUGGACAAGCAGCCGCGAUUUGAUCUGCUUCCCCUGCAACGUCGCCUAUCUCUACUCAAUUCAGGCAGCAGCAAUAGCACUCGAGAUGCAGGAAGAGCUCCUAGCUCGGGAACCUCAACAAGCAACACCAAGUCAUCUCCAUGGAUGGCAUCCACAAGCGACCAAGAUGACGACCAGGAGCCCGACGACGGCGGCGCCGACUACAACCUCUCCGUCUCCGAGAUUUGCCUUGCAAGAUGGUUAGUCGAAGAGGAUGUCUUCAUACUAUGCCAGUUCAGCUUUUUUGUGUGCCCGACGAAUCUUAGCUGCAGCUGGCAAAAAAGCCAAUCAGCCCUAUCCAUCACCGGAGUCCCUCUCUUCCGGAUAGCAGAUAAAUUUGCCUUGCAAGAUGGCUCGUCGAAGAGAACGUCUUCAUACCUGCCAGUUCAGCUUCUUGUGUGUGUGGCGCGGUGA
rnacentral:rRNA from 1 species